UGCGGCGGGCGCCGGCGAGCUCACCCUCGGUACUCGAUGUACUUGUAGAUGCACCCGGCGAUGACCAUGGCCACGAUGGCGUAGUACCAGGACGAGAUGAACAUGAGGGCCAGACACAGGCUCAUUCCCAGGAAGGACAGCGCCCUGCGGGACAGACGCAGCGGUCAGACCCCGGCGGCGGCGGCGGCGGCGGCGCCUCCGGCCGGACUCCACCCACCAGUGGUAGUACUUGAAGCGGGGCCUCCAGUUGGGGGUCCGCAGCAGCGUCUGCACGGCGCAGGCCAGGUUGACGAACAGGUAACACAUGAGGAAGAACCUGCGGGAACACAGCAGGCGUCCCGUCAGUCACAGCCGCGGUGACGGCGGGGGGACCGGCGGACGGACAACCGACAUGGACAGGAUGGGCGCCACGGCGUCCAGCGAGGCGAUCAGGAUCCCGAUCUCACAGAUCCCGGCGGUCAGCAGCAGGGCCCAGGUGGGCUCCCCGUUGGCCUUCCCGUGGCCGAAGACCUGCCGGAAGGGCACGAUGCCGUCCCGGGCGAUGGCCUGCAGCAGGCGGGGGGCGCCGGUCAGGCUCUGCAGGCCGGCGCCGCAGCACGAGAAGAAGGAGCCGAUCACGAUCACCCACGGCGACGGCCACGACAACGUCCCGAUGACCAGGUUCCCCUUCACCGAGUCCCCGAACCUGCAGCCGGGGGCCAGAACCAGAACCAGGAUCAGAACUAGACCAGCUGGAGGCCUCCGACAGAUUCUAAGAAAAUCAACAUUUUCAGGCAAAAUACAGGAAACAGAAAACAACACCGUUCUCAGUGUCAACACUGUUCUCAAAACGUCGCCUUGUAAACUAAACUUUACUGAAACAGAAAUGAUGCAUUUUCAUUUGAAACGUCGUGUGAACAGGUUCUGGGUCGUUUUUGGUCCUAUUUCACCAAACUGAAGUCAGAAAAUGAGGAUUUCUUCUUGUUUAUCACAGCAGACGGACUGCUCUACAGCAGGAACAUCUGCUGAGGGAGCGACAGACGCUACAGACACGUUGACCUUCACAGCGAGCAGAGCAGGUGUUGGACUCUCACUUGUCUCGCAGCAGGACGCCCUCGAUGCAGGCGCCGAACAGGACCACACAGGUAACGUCUGGCAGGAAGCUUCAGGAAAACAGAACGCUCGCCACCGGACAGAAUCCGGACCGCAGGUCAGUGUCCGUCACUCUGAAGGAUACAGAUGAAUGAAGUGGUGGCGAUAGCCAGGAUGGUCCCGAUGGGGAUGGACUUCUGGGCGUCCCUCAGGUCUCCAGACCGGUUCGAUCCGGCCAUGAUUCCUGAAAGACCAAAGAUCUGACAUCAGACCGACUGACACACGAGGCGAGACCAUCACCAGGUUCUCGCUCCCGCGAUGAACCAAUAGCACUGUUUUAAAGGACGAGCGCUAACAUUUAGCUGCUAACCGAUACCAGGACUAACUGAUGGUAUCAGUGCAGCCCUGCUUGGCACCGUUAGCGGCGUGCUAGCAUGCUAGCAUGACUCACCGGUGACGGAGGGGAAGUAGAUGCCCACUAACAGCGUGAAGAAGGUGGUGAUGUCGUUGACCACGUAGGGCAUGUAGAUGUCCUGAGCCGGGUCGCUGCCGCCCACGGACUCCAGCUUCGGGUUCUCCACCAGCAUGGCCAGGGGUCCGUACUGGGACCACAUGUUUUCUGUGGCACGGAGCAGACGACAUGUUUACACGUCACAGCCAAUCACAGAGCAGCUGGUGAGAAGGUGGUGACCUGAAGCGGAUCUGAGCCAAUAACAUCAAACUGGAGGGACCGGGAGUAUGGGACGGUACGGUCAGCUCUGAAGCUCAGCGGGACACGUCUGUCCUGGACCCGAGGGUCUGGGCGGCGCUCUGACCUGACACGACCCCGCUGGUCAGCCCGGGGAUGCCCUGCACCAGCGUCACGUUGUUGUUCAUGAAGUACUCGUUGCAGGAGGCGUUGAGCUCGGGCCCCUUGCAGAACAGCGUCCACAGCCUGGUGGUGGUCGUCACGUUGUCCACGGUCUCCGUCUUCAGACACUUGUCGAAGUCGUGGUUCUGCAGCGUUCGAUUCCCGAGCAUGCAAACGCUGUGUGGAAGAGGACAGGGGGCCCGUUGACGAGGGAACCACUUCCUGCGGACUCUCAGGACCAGGUCUGGUGAGGGACUCACGGGAAGUCUGGCGGCUCGAAGAUGGUUUUGAUGACUCCGGCGUAGAUGGCGAGGAUGGACAGGAUGACGCAGGCCAGGAAGACCAGCGCCAGCUUAUUGACGUACUUGACCCCGACGAAGACCACCACGGCCAUGAGCGCCAGGCAGCAGGUCCCGUAGACGCGCAUGUUGUUGAGCAGGGCGGCCACCUCGUCCUCCUUCCUCUCGGCCACGAAGAUGGCCGCUUUAGGCACGAUGUAGGUCUGAGAGACACGGAAACGGCGAUGGAGAACCGGUCUGAUCCCACCUGAGGCCCGGAGUCGGCGGGACCGGCUCCACUCACCAGCAGGAUCUCGAUGGUACCCAAGAUGUACAUGGAACCGGCGAAGGUGGUGCCCAGGUAGAAGCAGAGGCCCACGGCGCCGCCGAACUCCGGACCCAGAGACCUGGAGAUCAUGUAGUACGAGCCGCCGGCUGCAGAAAGCCACAGAGAACCGCGUCACGUCAGAAGCUCCGCCUCUUGUCACGGUGCCGGAGGGGCGGGAUCGUACCUGGAACCACGCCGUUGGUGGCGAUGGCGCUCAUGGAAAUGGCCGUCAGCAUCGUCUGUGCAGAGAGAGAGACGGAUCAGCGCCGGCCUGGGAUUCUACUGACUUCAUGUUUUCCCAAAGUAAGUGACCGUCAGAGGAUUAAAGACUUUA
rnacentral:lncRNA from 1 species